UUUUUUCCUGAAGAAAUGUUGUCCCAGGGAGUGUCUGACUAGUUCUGCAGCUUGGCAAAAAAGCCAGACGUUACCUCAUAGCUGUGGCCAGACAGCCUAUUUCUAUGCCAAACAACCGAUGCACUAGCGCAGCGCAGUGCCUGCCUGAUUAGCCCUUCUGCCGCUUUCUAGAGGCCUGGAGUGUUUUGUUCAAGAACUCCAUCAUUUAGCCUUGAGGGAAUACUUUCAACUGAGGACCAACUUGAUAUGGACCAAAUAUUUGAGGAGGAAAGCAAUUAAGCCGGAAUACCAAAAGAAGUCACCAUCUUCCUAUUUAAUCUGAUCAUCUUGGUCACAAGAAGUCUGAAAAAUGGAGCAAACCAGAAGAACAGAUGGACACCAGUGCUAUGUUAAUGGUCCCCAUUUGUCCCAAGAGGAGUGCCAGAAGGGUUUAAGAGUUCACAAAGAGUCUGGUGGACAGGAAGACUCGUGACAGUGUCUGUCUUGAAACACUUAUGAUCAUUCCUGUCUGUAGUGAGUGAGUUGGAUAUUUAUGGGUCUUUCCAGCUGAUAAGAAAUCAAUAAAAUGGUUUAUGGACUCUAUUCCACUUCCUUAUUAUUCUUUUGUUUUGUCUUCAAUUGAGAUUAUUUAAUUUCAACCUAUUGGUCCAUAGAACAAGCUAUACUGACCUCUGACUUGUAAAGGGCAGUGUAUCAAGCAAGAGUGUGCAAACAAAUGUCCUCUGCUAAGAGCUGGAGCUCUCAAAAACUCACUAUUUAAUCAUCUUCAACUGCUAACUGGUCUAUGCUGUAUCCUCUUUCUGAAUGGAUCUUGUAAUCAUUUCAUUUUAUUGGAUGUUAGUGAUGUUUUUCUGGAAAAUAUAUACCCAGUUGUAAAGGAGAAAGGUUAAAGGGAGUCAUUUGCAUCACGGUGAUAUAAGGAAGCUUUCUGUGAACCUCAGACUCCCUUAGAAAACACACUGUCCAUCUCAGUGUCAGUUUAGUGUUGAGGAUGAGUAAAGAAGAAAGGAUUACAAGUCAAAGGUUGUAGAAUUGUGAAUGUUUCCUAAUGCCAGAAGGAGCAAUGAUGACACUCAAUUAGAAUAUGGGAAUUGUUUCCCCAUAGGACAGUUUGUAGGAUUAUAGAUUAAAGCUGGAAACAUCCUUGUGAUAAAUCUAAUUCAACCCUUUAAUUUUAUAGAUGAAGUAACUGAGACCCAGAAAGGGGCUCUACUUCAAGCAAAAUUUGUAAAUGAUCCCAUUCAAUCAAUAAACAUAUAUUUAUUGACCAUCUACUAUGAGCCCAGCAUUGUGCUAUGGGAUAGAGAGAAGUAAAAAUAAGGCAGAGUCUAUGGCCUAACUGAAUCAUAGAAUUUAUGAUUAGAGAAAGCUAGUUAAUUAAUAUAUAUUUUAUAUAUUAAUAUAUAUAAAAGAAUAAGGACUGGACUAGGUGGACAAAGCACUGGAUCUGGAGUCAAGACGACCUGAAU